rnacentral:rRNA from 1 species
GAUGAACGCUGGCGGCGUGCCUAAUACAUGCAAGUCGAGCGAACAGAUGAGGAGCUUGCUCCUCGGACGUUAGCGGCGGACGGGUGAGUAACACGUGGAUAACCUACCUAUAAGGCUGGGAUAACUUCGGGAAACCGGAGCUAAUACCGUGUAAUAUAUUGAACCGCAUGGUUCAAUUAUGAAAGACGGUUUUGCUGUUACCUAUUGAUCGAUCCGCGCCGCAUUAGCUAGUUGGUAAGGUAACGGCUUACCAAGGCAACGAUGCGUAGCCGACCUGAGAGGGUGAUCGGCCACACUGGAACUGAGACACGGUCCAGACUCCUACGGGAGGCAGCAGUAGGGAAUCUUCCGCAAUGGGCGGAAGCCUGACGGAGCAACGCCGCGUGAGUGAUGAAGGUCUUCGGAUCGUAAAACUCUGUUAUUAGGGAAGAACAAAUGUGUAAGUAAAUAUGCACGUCUUGACGGUACCUAAUCAGAAAGCCACGGCUAACUACGUG